rnacentral:rRNA from 1 species
CCUACGGGGGGCUGCAGUCGAGAAUUUUUCACAAUGGGCGAAAGCCUGAUGGAGCGACGCCGCGUGGGGGAUGAAUGGCUUCGGCCCGUAAACCCCUGUCAUUCGCGAUCAAACCCUGCUCCCUAAUACGGGGCAGGCUGAUAGUAGCGGAAGAGGAAGGGACGGCUAACUCUGUGCCAGCAGCCGCGGUAAUACAGAGGUGCCAAGCGUUGUUCGGAUUCGCUGGGCGGCGAGGGUGCGAAGGCGACGUGAAAUACUGGAGCUUAACUCCGGAACGGCGUCGGAAACUACUCGGCUAGAGGGUUGGAGGGGGGACUGGAAUUCUCGGUGUAGCAGUGAAAUGCGUAGAUAUCGAGAGGAACACCUGUGGCGAAGGCGAGUCCCUGGACAAUACCUGACGCUGAGGCACGAAAGCUAGGGGAGCAAACAGGAUUAGAUACCCCAGUAGUC